UACGUAGGGUGCAGGCGUUAAUCGGAAUUACUGGGCGUAAAGCGUGCGCAGGCGGCUCCUUAAGUCAGAUGUGAAAGCCCCGGGCUUAACCUGGGAACUGCGUUUGAAACUGGGGGGCUAGAGUGUGGAAGAGGGGGGUGGAAUUCCAGGUGUAGCAGUGAAAUGCGUAGAGAUCUGGAGGAACACCGAUGGCGAAGGCAGCCCCAUGGGCUAACACUGACGCUCAUGCACGAAAGCGUGGGGAGCAAACAGG
rnacentral:rRNA from 1 species